rnacentral:rRNA from 1 species
ACGAACGCUGGCGGCGUGCUUAACACAUGCAAGUCGUACGGUAAGGCCCUUUCGGGGGUACACGAGUGGCGAACGGGUGAGUAACACGUGAGUAACCUGCCCACAACUUUGGGAUAACGCUAGGAAACUGGUGCUAAUACUGGAUAUGUGCUCCUGCUGCAUGGUGGGGGUUGGAAAGCUCCGGCGGUUGUGGAUGGACUCGCGGCCUAUCAGCUUGUUGGUGGGGUAGUGGCCUACCAAGGCGGCGACGGGUAGCCGGCCUGAGAGGGUGACCGGCCACAUUGGGACUGAGAUACGGCCCAGACUCCGACGGGAGGCAGCAGUGGGGAAUAUUGCACAAUGGGCGCAAGCCUGAUGCAGCAACGCCGCGUGCGGGAUGACGGCCUUCGGGUUGUAAACCGCUUUCAGCAGGGACGAAGCUUUUUGUGACGGUACCUGCAGAAGAAGCACCGGCUAACUACGUG